ACAUGGCCUCCCGCAACCCAUAAAUGAGAGGUCUGACCUGCCCAGUGACAAUCUGUUCAACGGCCGCGGUAUUUUAACCGUGCUAAGGUAGCGUAAUCACUUGUCUUUUAAAUGAAGACCUGUAUGAAUGGCACCACGAGGGCCCUACUGUCUCCUCCUCCCAAUCAGUGAAAUUGAUCUGCUCGUGCAAAAGCGAGCAUAAAACCAUAAGACGAGAAGACCCUGUGGAGCUUAAGACACAGAAUUAAUCAUGCCUAGAAGCUAAUCCCCAAAAGGCAAAACCAGCAACACAAGCAUAAUGACCCUAAUUCGACAUGUCUUCGGUUGGGGCGACCAUGGAGGACAACAAAGCCUCCAAGAAGAAUCAGGAGAUCAGUCCCACUAAUCUCUAAGAGCCAAGAGCCACACCUCCAAGCAACAGAAACUUCUGACUAAUAAUGAUCCGGGCCAUGCCCGAUCAACGGACCAAGUUACCCCAGGGAUAACAGCGCAAUCCUUUCCCAGAGCCCAUAUCGCCGAAAGGGUUUACGACCUCGAUGUUGGAUCAGGACAUCCUGGUGGCGAAAAUUUUACCAAGGGUUCGUUUGUUCAACGAUUAAAGUCCUACGUGA
rnacentral:rRNA from 1 species